GCAGGAGCCGAGGCGCGAGCGGGGUCAGUGUAGGCACCAUGGCUGGGAUCAGCACCAUGGAGGCGGUGAAGCGCAAGAUCCAAGUUCUACAGCAGCAGCCGAUGAUGCAGAGGAGAGAGCCGAGGGCCUCCAGCGGGAAGUGGAGGGAGAAAGGCGGGCCCGGGAGCAGGCUGAGGCUGAGGUGGCCUCCUUGAACCGCAGGAUCCAGCUGGUUGAAGAGGAGCUGGAUCGUGCCCAGGAGCGCCUAGCCACUGCCCUGCAAACGUUGGAGGAAGCGGAAAAAGCUGCUGACGAGAGUGAGAGAGGUAUGAAGGUUAUUGAAAACCGGGCCUUAAAAGAUGAAGAAAAGAUGGAACUGCAGGAAAUCCAGCUCGAAGAAGCGAAACAUAGUGCGGAAGAGGCAGACAGGAAGUAUGAAGAGGUGGCUCGUAAGUUGGUGAUUACUGAAGGAGACUGAGAACGCACAGAGGAACGAGCCGAGCUGGCGGAGUCCCGUAGCCGAGAGAUGGAUGAGCAGAUCAGACUGAUGGACCAGAACCUGAAGUGUCUGAGCGCUGCUGAAGAAAAGUAUUCUCAAAAAGAAGACAAAUAUGAGGAAGAGAUAAAGAUUCUUACUGAUAAACUCAAGGAGGCAGAGACCCGUGCUGAGUUUGCUGAGAGAUCGGUAGCCAAGCUGGAAAAGACAAUUGAUGAUUUGGAAGAUAAACUGAAAUGUACCAAAGAGGAGCAGCUCUGUACACAAAGGAUGCUGGACCAGACUCUGCUUGACCUGCACGAGAUGUAGAGCACCCCAGUCCCGCCCUGCUGACGCUUCUCCCUCUGACCCUGACUCCACCUGAGGCCCGCCUGCCUGAAGCUGACCUUUAAACUGAGGGCUGAUCUUUAACUGGAAGGCUGCUUUCUCCUUUCUUCACUCCCUCCAUUCCCUACCCACCCCACCACCAUGUCUUUUUAGCCAAACUAUCUCUUGUCUCUUCCCAGAAAUUCUAGCUGGGCUAGAGGCUGAGCAUCUUUGGGAACAACAUUUAAGGGAAUGUCAGCACAAUGCAAAAUGUCUUUAAAAGCAUGUUGUGAUGUACACAUUUUGUAACUACCUUUUUUGUUGUUGUGGCAACCAUUUGUAAAACAUUCCAGAUACUUCCCCAGCUCUUGAAGCAGCAAUCUAAUCCCUUUCUCACUUUUGGAAGAUGACUUUUCAGUUUAAUUCAUAUUGCCCUCUUCUUAGAAGAGGGGGAAAAGGUAUGGGCCUGCCUUACUGAGAACCAAACAGCCCAGGGAGAGAUUCCUCUAUGGACAACCUCACUCCUCAAAGUACCAGCCAAACCAGAAAGGUGAUCCCAGGAGGAGUUAGCCAAAAAAAAAAAAAAAAAAAAAAAGGAAACAACAACAAAACCAUGCUGUUGAGUUUUUCAGCUUUAAGGUAUCUUUGGACAACUUUUAUUUUUUAUUUUUUUCCUUAGAAAUGACCAAAUUAAGAUGGUAAGACCUCUGAGACCAGAUUUUUAUCCUGUCUCUACCCCCUUGCCAACGACUCAGAGAAUGGAUCAUGUGCUCCUUAUGUUGAGUGGACCACAUAAUUGCUCUCCUGCCUUAAAGAAAAUUAUGUUUUUGCCACUAAUUUAGCAAUAAGAAACUCAUCUCAUUACCCUUUCUGGGUCCGAAGCUGCUAUGUCUAAAAGUGCCAUCUCUUCAUACUUUGCAACAGUUUGUGCUGGAGAAAUCUUGAAUAGCUUGUGUACAAGACUCUGAAAAUUUUAUAUUAUUUGAAACCUUGCUUCGUUUGGUUUGGGGCACCCUGGCCACCCCAUCUGGUUGUGAGAGCUCUCUACAGUCUUUGAGCUGGCAGUGUACUGAAAAUCUUUUAAAGUUUCUUUCCCUGCCCAGUCCCCGCUUUUUGGUGAGGUUUCUCUGAGUGAGGCUUGUUAGGUGUACAUCCUGCAGCUUAUUGGCUUACAAUGUACUCUCCUUCGGUAUGGUCUCUUUGGGGCCAAUGGGGACAAAGAGAAAACCAGUAGUGCAACUGUUUUGAUACUGAAUAUUGAUAUGUCUUUUUGAAAUAAAGAACCAGUCCCUCCAAAAAAAAAA